rnacentral:rRNA from 1 species
CUCAGGAUGAACGCUAGCGACAGGCCUAACACAUGCAAGUCGAGGGGCAUCGGGGCGAGGAGCAAUCCUUGCCGCCGGCGACCGGCGCACGGGUGAGUAACGCGUAUGCGACCUGCCCGUUGCAGGGGGAUAAUCGGGAGAAAUCCCGUCUAAUACCGCGUAAUGCCGCGGGGCUGCAUGGCCCUGCGGCCAAAGGAAGCGAUUCCGGCAACGGAUGGGCAUGCGUGACAUUAGCUAGUUGGCGGGGCAACGGCCCACCAAGGCGACGAUGUCUAGGGGUUCUGAGAGGAAGGUCCCCCACACUGGUACUGAAACACGGACCAGACUCCUACGGGAGGCAGCAGUGAGGAAUAUUGGUCAAUGGGCGCGAGCCUGAACCAGCCAAGUCGCGUGAGGGAUGACGGCCCUACGGGUUGUAAACCUCUUUUGUCGGGGAGCAAAUUCCGCCACGUGUGGCGGAGUCGAGAGUACCCGAAGAAAAAGCAUCGGCUAACUCCGUGCCAGCAGCCGCGGUAAUACGGAGGAUGCGAGCGUUAUCCGGAUUUAUUGGGUUUAAAGGGUGCGUAGGCGGACUGUCAAGUCAGCGGUAAAAUACGGGGGCUCAACCUCCGCCCGCCGUUGAAACUGACGGUCUUGAGUGGGCGAGAAGUAUGCGGAAUGCGUGGUGUAGCGGUGAAAUGCAUAGAUAUCACGCAGAACUCCGAUUGCGAAGGCAGCAUACCGGCGCCCAACUGACGCUGAAGCACGAAAGCGUGGGUAUCGAACAGGAUUAGAUACCCUGGUAGUCCACGCAGUAAACGAUGAAUACUAGCUGUCCGGGGCGAAUGAGCCCUGGGUGGCACAGCGAAAGCGUUAAGUAUUCCACCUGGGGAGUACGCCGGCAACGGUGAAACUCAAAGGAAUUGACGGGGGCCCGCACAAGCGGAGGAACAUGUGGUUUAAUUCGAUGAUACGCGAGGAACCUUACCCGGGCUCAAACGACACAGGAACGUACCUGAAAGGGUUCGGCUCUACGGAGCCUGUGUCGAGGUGCUGCAUGGUUGUCGUCAGCUCGUGCCGUGAGGUGUCGGCUUAAGUGCCAUAACGAGCGCAACCCCCAUCGACAGUUGCUAACAGGUCAGGCUGAGGACUCUGUCGAGACUGCCGGCGCAAGCUGCGAGGAAGGCGGGGAUGACGUCAAAUCAGCACGGCCCUUACGUCCGGGGCGACACACGUGUUACAAUGGCAGGUACAGCGGGAAGCCACCUGGCGACAGGGAGCGGAACCCGAAAGCCUGUCUCAGUUCGGAUUGGAGUCUGCAACCCGACUCCAUGAAGCUGGAUUCGCUAGUAAUCGCGCAUCAGCCACGGCGCGGUGAAUACGUUCCCGGGCCUUGUACACACCGCCCGUCAAGCCAUGGAAGCCGGGGGUGCCUGAAGUGCGCUGCCGCGAGGAGCGCCCUAGGGUAAAACCGGUGACUGGGGCUAAGUCGUAACGAGGUA